UACGGAGGGUGCAAGCGUUAUCCGGAUUUACUGGGUUUAAAGGGCGCGCAGGCGGAUAUGUAAGUCAGUGGUGAAAUCUCUAGGCUUAACCUGGAAAUUGCCGUUGAUACUAUAUAUCUUGAAUGCUGUGGAGGUAAGCGGAAUAUGUCAUGUAGCGGUGAAAUGCUUAGAUAUGACAUAGAACACCUAUUGCGAAGGCAGCUUACUACGCAGAUAUUGACGCUCAUGCACGAAAGCGUGGGGAUCAAACAGG
rnacentral:rRNA from 1 species